GUUUUGCAUAGGGAGUAGCCAUUAACUGGCCCUCUGUUCAUAAACUGAGCACACACCUCCAGCCUGCAUAAGGAGGGUAGAGGUGUUCCCCUCACCUCAAGUCAGGUGAAAGGGUCUAAAUGAGAACGACCUGGAACACUUGACUUGUGUUCAUUGGAGGUCAAGGGACACAGGGACCGGUAUUUUAUCCUGCCUUGGAAAAGACUCAAGAUGGGAACUUAUGCUUCGUCCUGCCCUGAGAGCAGAGCAAAGGAGGUGGCUGUACUCAGAGUGAGAUGCACUUCCCCAAAAAUCUAGGAAUAAGGUUUCCAAGAUCAGAUGAGAUUGGUCACGUUCAUGGUGGUAUGGCCACACACUAGGUAUAAGACCUCAUAGAAGAGGAACACUCUGGAUUUGUUUGAAAAUGGCUUGCAACGAAAAAGACCAAGGAUUCAUCCUAAACUGUCACCUUUUGUUUUCUCUGCAGCAGAAUGUGAAGAGGAAAAGAGAGAAGGAAGAGAAAAAAGAGCCAAAUACACUCCAUACACCAUAGGAAUUAAAAAUAUCCUGAAGAUACAGCAUGUUGGACAAAUGAUAAAAUAGUUUCUUCAAAGCUGCUCCAUUCACAUCAGUGAUCAAAAGUUUGAUUAGGACAGUGUUCUAUUAGGCGCUGCUCACAGUUCCUUCAAAUUUGUGAUAAUUUGUUAAUUACCUUUUGGAUAUAGUCAUUUGCAAAGUUUCUAAUUUACUUACCUUAAGCCCAGUUCAUAUUUCUUCCUGUCCAGAGAGUAGCAUGAAGGAGCUUGUUAUGUGCCCUGCUGAAAUCCAACUACACUAGGCCUAUUUCAUUUCCCUAAUACAGCCAUCUAAUAAUAAUACUAUGAAUGAAAUAAAUGGUGCUGGUCUGGCAUGAUUUGUUCUUUGUGAGCGCAAUACUGCCUAAGUCCUUAAUCAUUACCGCUACCACUUCUAGAUGCCUACAAACUAUACACCAUAACAACUUGCUAGGGUCAAUGCCAGCCUUCUCAGGAUUUAUGAAAUUCAUCUUCCUUUUCUUUUUAGGAAUCAAAAUAGUAGUUGCUCAUCUAGACUUAUGGCAUUUCUCUGAUUUACUACAAUUCUGCAAAUAUCACAAUUUCAAUAAAAGUUGCCAGAUAUUAAA
rnacentral:lncRNA from 1 species